rnacentral:misc_RNA from 1 species
GGGCCAAAGGUAAGUGAUUGCAGAUUCCGUGAUCAUCGAAUCUUUGAACGCACCUUGCGCUCUAUGGUAUUCCGUAGAGCAUGCCUGUUUGAGUGCCAUGAAUUCUCCCACCCCAAGCGGUUUUUAUCAAAUAAUUGCUGAGCGAAGGGGUUGGGAUGGGCGCUUCUAUAACUGCUUUUCUUCUCUAGAAAAGCUCGCCCGAAAAAGUUUAUUGAAACAUGGGCCACUUUGCUUCCUGUUUGCUAAGGGGAGAACCGGCCGUGUUUUUUCCCAGCCAUGGGAAGAUACUGAUUUUUCAUUGGCUAUGAAGUAAGAAAUGAUUUGGUUGGUCUGCUUUA